GUGGGGAAUAUUGGGCAAUGGGGGAAACCCUGACCCAGCGACGCCGCGUGAGGGAAGAAGGCCUUAGGGUCGUAAACCUCUGUUGUGUGGGAAGAAGAGCGUGACGGUACCACACGAGGAAGUCCCGGCUAACUACGUGCCAGCAGCCGCGGUAAUACGUAGGGGAAGAGCGUUGUCCGGAUUUACUGGGCGUAAAGGGCGCGUAGGCGGUCAUUUAAGUCAGCUGUGAAAUGGUUUGGCUUAACCGGAUCAUGCGGUUGAAACUGGAUGACUGGAGUGCUGGAGAGGCAAGUGGAAUUCCCAGUGUAGCGGUGAAAUGCGUAGAGAUUUGGAAGAACACCAGUGGCGAAGGCGACUUUCUGGACGAUGUCUGACGCUGAGGCGCGAAAGCUAGGGGAGCGAACGGGAUUAGAAACCCGAGUAGUCC
rnacentral:rRNA from 1 species